rnacentral:rRNA from 1 species
AAGGUAGCAUAAUAAUUUGUGUUUUAAAUGGGUACUGGUAUAAAUGGCUCCACAUUGUUAAUUUUUCUUUUUUUUAAAAAAUGAAUUUAGAGUAAAAGUAAAAAUACUUUUAUACACUAAAAAGACGAUAAGACCCUAAAAGCUUUAUAUUUUAGCCUAAUUAUUUUUAUAUAAUAUGGUUGUCGAUUUUUAACUGGGGUAGUUUUGUUUUUCUUAAACUAAUUAAAGACUAGCAAGGGUGUAUGACCCUUUAAUAAAGGUUUUGUUUAAGUUACUUUAGGGAUAACAGCGUUAUAAAAUUAAAGAGACCUUAUCUCCAAUUUUGAUUGCGACCUCGAUGUUGAAUUAACAAAUCCAAGAGGGGCAACCCCCUCAGAGGAAGGUUUGUUCAACCUUUAAUUUGUUACAUGAUCUGAGUUCAAACCGG